rnacentral:rRNA from 1 species
UACAGAGGUCUCAAGCGUUGUUCGGAAUUACUGGGCGUAAAGCGUGCGCAGGCGGUUUGUUAAGACAGAUGUGAAAUCCCCGGGCUUAACCUGGGAACUGCAUUUGUGACUGCAUAGCUAGAGUACGGUAGAGGGGGAUGGAAUUCCGCGUGUAGCAGUGAAAUGCGUAGAUAUGCGGAGGAACACCGAUGGCGAAGGCAAUCCCCUGGACCUGUACUGACGCUCAUGCACGAAAGCGUGGGGAGCAAACAGG